rnacentral:rRNA from 1 species
CAGUAGCCGCGGUAACACGAAGGGUGCAAGCGUUACUCGGAAUUACUGGGCGUAAAGCGUGCGUAGGUGGUUGUUUAAGUCUGUUGUGAAAGCCCUGGGCUCAACCUGGGAAUUGCAGUGGAUACUGGGCAACUAGAGUGUGGUAGAGGGUAGUGGAAUUCCCGGUGUAGCAGUGAAAUGCGUAGAGAUCGGGAGGAACAUCCAUGGCGAAGGCAGCUACCUGGACCAACACUGACACUGAGGCACGAAAGCGUGGGGAGCAAACAGGAUUAGAUACCCCCGUAGUCCCUGUCUCUUAUAC